rnacentral:tRNA from 1 species
GCCUGCAUGGCUCAGUGGUUGAGCAUCAACCUGUGAACUAGAAGGUCAUGAUUCAAUUCCAGGUCAGGCA